AACGAACGCUGGCGGCAGGCCUAACACAUGCAAGUCGAACGCCGUAGCAAUACGGAGUGGCAGACGGGUGAGUAACACGUGGGAACAUACCCUUCGGUUCGGAAUAACUCAGGGAAACUUGAGCUAAUACCGGAUACGUCCGCGAGGAGAAAGAUUCAUCGCCGGAGGAUUGGCCCGCGUCUGAUUAGCUUGUUGGUGAGGUAACGGCUCACCAAGGCGACGAUCAGUAGCUGGUCUGAGAGGAUGAUCAGCCACAUUGGGACUGAGACACGGCCCAAACUCCUACGGGAGGCAGCAGUGGGGAAUAUUGGACAAUGGGCGCAAGCCUGAUCCAGCCAUGCCGCGUGAGUGAUGAAGGCCCUAGGGUUGUAAAGCUCUUUUACCCGGGAAGAUAAUGACUGUACCGGGAGAAUAAGCCCCGGCUAACUUCGUGCCAGCCGCCGCAGU
rnacentral:rRNA from 1 species